AUUGAACGCUGGCGGCAUGCUUUACACAUGCAAGUCGAACGGUAACAGGCCGCAAGGUGCUGACGAGUGGCGAACGGGUGAGUAAUGCAUCGGAACGUGCCCAGUCGUGGGGGAUAACGCAGCGAAAGCUGCGCUAAUACCGCAUACGAUCUAUGGAUGAAAGCGGGGGACCGUAAGGCCUCGCGCGAUUGGAGCGGCCGAUGUCAGAUUAGGUAGUUGGUGGGGUAAAGGCUCACCAAGCCAACGAUCUGUAGGUGGUCUGAGAGGACGACCAGCCACACUGGGACUGAGAAACGGCCCAGACUCCUACGGGAGGCAGCGGUGGUGAAUUUUGGACAAUGGGCGCAAGCCUGAUCCAGCAAUGCCGCGUGCAGGAUGAAGGCCUUCGGGUUGUAAACUGCUUUUGUACGGAGCGAAAAGGCUUCCACUAAUACUGGGGGCUCAUGACGGUACCGUAAGAAUAAGCACCGGCUAACUACGUGCCAGCAGCCGCCGCCGUAA
rnacentral:rRNA from 1 species